rnacentral:lncRNA from 1 species
AUGGUGGCUGUGGCCGUUCCGUCCUCCGUCCGCUCCCGCUCCGUCAUGAGAGGAGAUAGAGCCCUGAAACAAAGAAAAAACUAUUCAAGGGCCAUGCCACCCAGUCAUCACCAACUGCACAGCUCUUCGGGAACUGCAAGCGGGGAGGGUGCAUCGACUUCCCAAUGUGUCGGCGCAACAAGACUGGUGGGAAAAAGGUCUUGUCUUCAUCCCGGAGAUGUUCAUGUCCAGAUAAACUCCGUACCGAAAGAAUAUGUUGAAAAGCCAAGCUCCGGAAAUAUGAGGUCAGGUGUCCACAGCUGGACUCGUGAAUGCGUACACAGUGCAUUCCGGAGUCCCUCCCACAGUGAAGCAGACAGCCUGGUGACGCUGCCGCCCAGGCUUGAAGACCUGGAGGUGGCUCCUGCUCAGAAUUCCGUCAUCUUUUCAAGUGGUUGUAAAAAUGCCUUCCAUAUUCUGAUUCUGGGUGUCAAACUUGUUCCCCAGCAUAUAACAGAGGGCUGGCAUUACAGGUGUGUACCACUACACCCAACUGACUUCCUGCUCUUCCCCAAAGUCAAAAUGACCAUGACAAUAAUAGCACAACUAAAGGCACAAAGAGGACUUCUAGAACUGCUUCAGAAAGUGACCUGACCAAAGGAGUAAAUAUCUGUGAAGUGAAGGAGACUAUUUUUUUCUUUUUGAGACAGGUUCUCACCAUGCAGUUCAGGCUGACCAUGAACUCACUAUGUACCCCUGAUAAUCAUUCUGCCUCAGCCUCCUGAGUGCUGGGAUUACAGGUGUGCGUCAGCACAGCAAGUGCCUAUGUGUCUUUUACUGUAAUUCUGUAAAACAUUCAUUGUAUUUUAGAUCACACCUCACACACAUACAUAGGUAUCUACACCUGUAUCUGUAAUACAUCUAUAUAUGAUAUAUGUGGCAUAUGAAGACAAUUAACUCCAAGAAUUGAGCAAAGGCAAACUUGGUUUUUACUUGAAAAAUGUCACAGGAGUUGGCGGUCCCCAGGGUCUCCCAGCACGUGGGAGGACAUGGGCAGAAAAUGAGCAAGCACUCUGGGAGGAAGAAAGCCCCGUCAGGCGCUGUGUGGCCACGGGAGGAUGUCGUGAUCCCCCACGCGACUUCCCCAGCCACUGUUUCAGGACCACACUGUGGUCUCCUGUGCUGUAACUCUAUCCGAAUUUUUCAGUUUUUCUUUUGUGUUCCCCUUUUUCAGUCUCUAAGGCGGGGGUUGACAGGGCAACCUGAAUGAGACACCCAAGUGAAAGAGGAAGUGUCUCAGCCCUAACCAAACUUAGAACAGCCACCCAUUCAAUCAAUGACCUCUAUGGAAACAUUGAAGACAUCCUCUGUGUCCUUUAGGCUUUCUGGGGGAGGGGACAGUUACUGCGAGAGGCAACCAGCUUCCAUCCAGCCGGGUCAGGGCAGCGACCCCACAGAGAGAGCGGUCACCUCCCUGGAGAUAGAAGGAGGGCAGCCCAAAGCCAGGCCUCUGAUCCCAGCAAGCAGGACUUCCUUCCUUGCUUUUGCUACCCUUAGGACCUUUUCCCCAGAAGCUGGGGACCACUUAGCCCCAGGGUGGAGAUGGCCCAGGCUGGGUGAAAGGCAAGUGCUUUCCGAGAGGGCUACUCUAGCACUAUGAGCCGUUAACACCUUGCCUCAAAUUUGCUCCUCAAGGCAGUUAACAGCUCCCCAAGGGGCACCUGUGGGUCCCCUUCUUGCUAACUUGGGUACAGUGCUGGCAGGUGCUUGAGAGGCCCAUGGCAAGGUCGGAAACAAAUGCGGUAUAGUAGAAGAAACUGGAAAGGGCAUUGCCAGAACUGACAUUAGCAUGGUCUAAAAAUAUGUAUUUCUUGUGCAAUGUUAAAAAAAAAUUUUUUUUUUUAAACAGGGUCUUGCUAUGUAGCCCAGGCUGGCCUUGAACUCACGGCGACCCUCCUGCCCCAGCCUCCCAAGUGCUGGGAUUACAGGUGUGCACCACCAUGGCUAGCUUUGAAAUUUUUUACUUUAGCAUAAUAAAAAGGAGAGAGAUAGACAAAAGAACAAAAUUGCACCUGAUUCUUCUGCCCAGAAAUAACCCAUGUGAACACUGACUGACUUUUAGGCUUUUUUAUAAUGCACAUUAUUUCAAGAUAAUUGUGGCAAUAUGUGACUUCCAAAAUUGUGCAUCAUAACCUUUCAGUCUAUUUCUUAUUCCUGAAUGAAUAUUGUAUGAUGUGUUCAUCAGAGC